rnacentral:rRNA from 1 species
UACGUAGGGUGCGAGCGUUAAUCGGAAUUACUGGGCGUAAAGUGUGCGCAGGUGGCCGCGCAAGUCGAGUGUGAAAUCCCCGGGCUUAACUUGGGAAUUGCGCUCGAAACUACGUGGCUCGAGUGUGGCAGAGGGAGGUGGAAUUCCACGUGUAGCGGUGAAAUGCGUAGAUAUCUGGAGGAACACCGGUGGCGAAGGCGGCAUCCUGGACCGACACUGACGCUGAGGAGCGAAAGCCAGGGGAGCAAACGGG